rnacentral:rRNA from 1 species
UAUUGCACAAUGGGGGAAACCCUGAUGCAGCAACGCCGCGUGAGUGAAGAAGUAAUUCGUUAUGUAAAGCUCUAUCAGCAGGGAAGAAAGAAAUGACGGUACCUGAGUAAGAAGCCCCGGCUAACUACGUGCCAGCAGCCGCGGUAAUACGUAGGGGGCAAGCGUUAUCCGGAUUUACUGGGUGUAAAGGGAGCGUAGACGGUUAUGCAAGUCUGAAGUGAAAUGCCAGUGCUCAACACUGGAACUGUGUUGGAAACUGUGUAACUGGAGUGCAGGAGAGGUAAGUGGAAUUCCUAGUGUAGCGGUGAAAUGCGUAGAUAUUAGGAGGAACACCAGUGGCGAAGGCGGCUUACUGGACUGUAACUGACGUUGAGGCUCGAAAGCGUGGGGAGCAAAC